rnacentral:rRNA from 1 species
UACGAAGGGGGCGAGCGUUGUUCGGAUUUACUGGGCGUAAAGGGCGCGUAGGCGGCCAGCGCAAGUCAGUUGUGAAAUCUCCGGGCUUAACUCGGAAAGGUCAACUGAUACUGCGCGGCUAGAGUGCAGAAGGGGCAACUGGAAUUCUCGGUGUAGCGGUGAAAUGCGUAGAUAUCGAGAGGAACACCUGCGGCGAAGGCGGGUUGCUGGGCUGACACUGACGCUGAUGCGCGAAAGCCAGGGGAGCGAACGGG